CACGUAUGCAUGGCAUGACUUGGCACAAUUUUCACGUGAUGACGGCUGUGACAGAGGGAAAGGAUAACCACCCUUCCCCUGAGACCAUUUCUGAUCAGGCUUCAGUGAAGAGGACACAUAUUGACAGGUAGUCCUACUGAGAUUAAGAUCUCUUUGUCAAGACAAACCUAUACAAAAGAUAUGGAGAUGGACAACCACAUUCCUUUUUAUAA